AUCCAGACUCCUACGGGAGGCAGCAGUGGGGAAUAUUGCACAAUGGGGGGAACCCUGAUGCAGCGACGCCGCGUGGGUGAAGGGGUAUUUCGGUAUGUAAAGCCCUAUCAGCAGGGAAGAACAAUGACGGUACCUGACUAAGAAGCACCGGCUAAAUACGUGCCAGCAGCCGCGGUAAUACGUAUGGUGCAAGCGUUAUCCGGAUUUACUGGGUGUAAAGGGGGCGCAGACGGCAGCGCAAGCCAGGAGUGAAAGCCCGGGGCCCAACCGCGGGACUGCUCUUGGAACUGCGCGGCUGGAGUGCAGGAGGGGCAGGCGGAAUGCCUGGUGUAGCGGUGAAAUGCGUAGAUAUCAGGAGGGACACCGGUGGCGAAGGCGGCCUGCUGGACUGCGACUGACGUUGAGGCCCGAAAGCGUGGGGAGCAAACAGGAUUAGAUACCCGUGUA
rnacentral:rRNA from 1 species